rnacentral:rRNA from 1 species
CCUACGGGAGGCAGCAGUAGGGAAUCUUCCGCAAUGGGCGAAAGCCUGACGGAGCAACGCCGCGUGAGUGAUGAAGGUCUUCGGAUCGUAAAACUCUGUUAUUAGGGAAGAACAUACGUGUAAGUAACUGUGCACGUCUUGACGGUACCUAAUCAGAAAGCCACGGCUAACUACGCGC